UGCUCUGGUGGCCUAGUGGUUAGAGCAUCCAUCUCGGAUGCAGGAGGUUGUGGGUUCAAUUCCCAGCUGAGUCA